ACUAACAAAUGUUGUUUUGUUGGGUAGUUCAUUGUAAUCCUACAAUAUGAUUUGCCUAACGCAAAUGAACAAGAGAUAGAACUCAAAGAAUGGGUUCUUUGAGAGACAAGAUAAUCAACAAAUAUAACAACCUAGUUCCUACACCACAAGCUCCAAGGUAGUCGAGAAGGAUUUAUAAACCGUCUCAGUUGAAUGGUUUGAACUUUAUGACUAUGUCAUAGAGUUACACCUCUUAAUUCGAAAGAAAUAAGAAUGAAAAUCCUUAUGACUACAUUGAGUGUAUAUACGACAUAUACUCAAGGAAAUGGUAAAGUACCAUUUGACCCGAAAUAGUGAAACCUUUAAUAGCUAAUUGGUAGCUUAAGGUGACUACAAUCAAAGAGAUUGGUUGACUUGGAAGAAACCAUCUUUGACGUAGUCUUGGUUUCAAUUAAUUCAAAGAUUGCUAGCUACAACUAAAUGGUGAUUCAAUGUUUGGACAUAAUAUGGGUUUCCGAAACCAUUAUUAAGAUAGUCUUGAUAAUAUAUGUCUAAAACUAUGAAUCACAAGACAUGUUCCCUAAAACCAAUCAUAUGAUGAUACUUUACGGACAUUUCACAUGUGAAACUAAUAUAGUUUAAUUUAAAGGGCAAAGAUUAUUGUUUGAAGCCGUUUCAUAUAAAUGUUAUACGCUUAAACGAUAAGUCCAAGGAAUAUGUAAUUGGGAGAAUGCGAUCUAAAGAAGUUAGAUUCAUGAGACCAUUCUCUUUCGUAUACAUAUCCUAAACGUUCUGAUUAUAGGAUUGCCAUUGGGCAUUGACAGUCCGUUAAGAUCAGUACGUGCUAUGUCUUCUCUUAGGAAGAGUGACCGGUCUCGAGUCAUUGGUGUGACUGACACCAAGAUAAGUACGUAGGUGCUCAAUAGAGAAUGAGUUCAUUGAAUGCGAUCAACAAGGAGUUCUCAUACUCAUGUCACAUGAGAACUCAUGAUUGGGAUAAUGCAAAGUAGUCCUUUGACCUGAGGCAUCAUAGUUGUCUUGUGGUUAGGUCCUUGAUCUUUGACUAUGUCAAAGUCACUCCAUCCGAGGGUAUCCACGACAUAGUUAGGGUUAAGCCACUUAGCCAUGGAGGUAAGUGAAUGCGCAACAAGGGAUCUCUAACCUUCAAACUGUUUGAGCGAGAAUACUCUAUGAUAUGAUUAAGAAUCUCUAGCCAGAGUAUGAAUGAGAUUUAGGAAGUCGUUCCAAAUCACAUUCAAGGAAAUCAUAUAAGUAAAUGAAUUAGAUUGGAUAGUAGACAUGAAUAAACUAUCAAACCAAGCAAUGUGGUCAAAAGUAUUGUAUUAGAGAAACACCGUAUUGCAUUGUAAUCUUAAGCUGAAUAGGUUCUCCACCUCUUCUGAUUAGCUUAGGUAACCAUGACAUACUGCUAGGUGUCACUCAUGGUUUGUGGAAGCCUUAAACAUGUAUAAUCACUAAAGGGAGAAUUGAAAGUAAGUUUCAAUUUACAAUCGAUUUGAAAGAGUUCUAAUCGCCCACUGCCUCGCUAAAAGGAACCUAAUGGAUUGCACACCGCGUAAGGUAAUGCUUGAAGGAUUUGAAGGAGAUGAGUAAGGACAAUUAAAUGGUUUAAUUGUUUAUGGCAAGAAUGAAUUAAUAUGUUAAUUAAUCAAACGAACAAGUUCGUUUUAAACCUUGAGAAAGUUUUGGGCCUUAAAGCCCAAAUUGGGCUUCGAAUCGUCAAGCCCAUUAGCUUAAGUUGUAUGACAACUUAACAAACAAAAUUCAAGAAGCCCAAAACAGCCCAAAGGCUUAGGAAAACCGGCCAUAUAGAGAGGGGUAGUGAACUUGGCUUAAUUGCAAGUUUGCCACUCCAUUGUGAGGUGGUAUAAAGGCAACUUUAUAGCCAUUUCAUCCUUAGGGUUUCUUUGAAGAAAAGAUGAGAACACAAGCUCCCUUUUCUUUCUAAGAGGCCGGCCACCCUAGAGGAUUUUAGCUAGCAAUCUUACUUCCUCUAGGUCACUCAUCUCUUCUUCAAGUCCUACCUUGGUGUGGAGACUUAGAGGUUCUCAACUUUGGGAACUUGGAGAAUCCUUUCAACCAUCCUCAUCCAAGAAAUCCAUGGAGCUAAGAAGCAAGGAAUGAAGGCCCUCUCCUUGGGUGAUUAGCCCUUGCUUAUGCAAAGAGGAAUCAACAAAGGUAUAAAAUUUCUCAACUCACUUUGUUCUUGAGUUGAGUCUUGGUUCACAUAGCUACUAGGCUUUGAAUUUAUGGGUAAUGUUUUGUUUUGAGUGCAUACAAGCGUGAUUCCGCCUUUAAUUGUUAAUUGCAUGCCAUAGAUGUUGCUUAAAUGAACAUGUUUUUCACAAAAUUUCCUUCAAUAUGAUUGUUUAAUUUAAAUAACAAAGAGUUUUAACUAGAGUCCACUCAAAGGCAAUUUAACCGAAGUACCGCAUUGGGCCUCAUUAUAUUAAAUGAUGAAAGCUUUUGUGGGAAAAAAGUUUCAUAUUAUAAAAGGAGCCCUACUUAUAAAGACAAAAAUAUAUACCGUAUUUCACACAACUCCACACCUUAUAAAACAUUACAAGGAGUGACAAAAAACUUAAUAACAGAAAACAAAGCCCAACCCAAAAAGAAACGGGCCGACUAAAUUACGGUUCAUGCCAUUCGACUAUAACCGUUAAUAGACGGCUACGUCAACCACUACAUGACCAAAAAUCAUAAAAAUUACCUGGUUCCUUUCCCUUUUCCAUUCAAUACCCUCGUUACUCUUCCCCAAACCUUUAUCAUUUCAAAAAUCCUAUCACGCAAAAGAUACUUCCCCAAAAACCCUAAAAUCUCCAUAGUUUUCAAUACUUUCAAGCCGGAUUUUUAGUAAAGUGAUUCACAAGUUCAGCCGGAUUCCCAGAAAAGAUCAGUGUUUCAAAGGUUUUCCUACUACCCAAAAUCGUCCUUUUUGCAUGAUUAUAUUUUGAACUCUGUUAAAUACGAAUGCAUUAUCAAAGUUUUGGAUGCAUUAUCAAGUGUUUUUGCUCUUGUUUGUGCAAGAGAAAACUAUAAAAAAUGCAAGCAUUAUCAAGUGUUUUUUGCACUUGAAUUUACCAAAAACUCAGUGUUCUAGUUCGUGAAAAAACAAUUUUAGUGUUUUAGAUGUUUCAUUUCGCUAUUUUUAGUUUAUAUGUAUACUGAUUCUGCAUUUUGUACUGAUGAUCACUUGUAAAAAAUGCAUGCAUUAUCAAGUGUUUGCUGCACCUUGUACUGAUGAUGCACUUUGAAUUGAUGUUGUACUUUGUACUGAUGCUGCACUUUAUAAAUUAAUUCUGGUUGUACUUUUUGUUUCUAAAUUGAUUCUUAAACAUCUCAAAAGGAAAAUGAAUAUGCUUCUAAAUUUUGUAAGUAAAAACAUUAACCAUCUAGCUUCGAUGCUGCACUUUGAACUGAUGCUUGACUUUGAACCGAUGCUGCACUUUGUACUGAUGCUGCACUUUGUAAAUUAAUUAUGGUUCUACUUUCUGUUUGUAAAUUGGUUUUGCACAAUUAUGCAUCUACAUUGUGUGUUAACAACCAAUUCUACAUCUACCUUGUUUGCUAAGUGGUGGUGCAUCUACUUGUGCGCUACAUGAUGAUGCAUCUACUUGUUUGCUAAGUGAUUAUGCAUAUAGCUUGCACGCUAAGUGAUGCUACAUAUAGCUUGUGUGCUUAGUGAUGCUGCAUCUAGCUUGUGUGCUUAGUGAUGCUGCAUCUAGCUUGUGUGCUAAGCAUUUGCCCUUUGCAUCUAGUUUGUACUGAUGCUGCACUUGUAACCAAUGCAUGUAUUAUCAAGUGUUUGGUGCACUUGGUAAAUUAAUUCUGGUUGUACAUUUUGUUUGUAAAUUAAUUCUUGUGUGCUAAGCAUCUGCCCUUUGCAUCUAGUUUGUCAUUUAUAUGACUUCAUAUUAUUUGAUAAUUUAUUAUACUCAUGAUUGUUUCAUUUUUUAUGAAGAUGACGACAAAUGCAAAAAACCUUGCUGUUAAUGCACAAAAUCAGUGAGGACUUUGGUACAAUAGAAAGUGUUAAGUUUGUGACCUUCGCUAGAUUGCUCCAGUCACUAGUGUGGAUAAGUAUGCAAAUGGAUAGAGACAGGGAAGCAAACACAAGAUGUACGUGGUUCACCUAGAUUGGCUACGUCCAUGGAGUAGAGGAGUUCUCAUUAAU
rnacentral:lncRNA from 1 species